ACUUAUCUAAUAUAAUAGUAUGUUUGACUUCCAAUCAAAAAGUUUGAUUUAAUCAAGAUGAGUA
rnacentral:tRNA from 1 species